rnacentral:sRNA from 1 species
UGAACCACUGCACUCCAGCCUGGACAACAGAGUGAGACUGUCUCAAAAAAUAAGUAAAUAAGAAAUAAAAAAUAAUAAAAGUGCAGAUGGGGCGGGGCCAGAGCUGGGAUGGAGCUGACUGUUAGCAUCCGUUCAGGGCAUCGGCACCAUGGAAGCACUAUCCAGCGCAGAUCUGCAGCCCUGCAUUCAGCACUCCCUCCCCCAGCUGUUGCCAGCUGCAUGGGGCCCACUGCAUAGGGUCCAGCUAUGAGUUGGUGAGGCUUAACAAGCAGUGCAGGUGAUUCCAAUGCGCACUCAUCCAUGGUUUUGGACCACGAAUGUAGAUGUUCCAGGGACCACAUGGACAGGGGCCGUUGCAGACAAGCCUGAGGACCUCCUGGGCCUGAUUGACUUGAAGCCUGGUUUGGGGCUUGGGAGCUACAGAGAUUUGGUGGCAGCUCUUUCCCAUAGGGCUAAGACAGAUGGGGCCAGGAAUUCACCUUCCCUCCAGCAUAGGAGCCAGAACAGAUACCUCAGGACCCUCUUCACCCCACAGCUGAUGUCUCUCACCCACAUGGGAGCAAGACCCAGCGCCAGGCAGAGAAUUCAGGUUUCACGACUCCAAGUCAGGGCUGGGUGCAGUGGCUCAUGCCUUUAAUCCCAGUGCUUUGGGAGACUGACAUUGGAGAAUUGCUUGAGGCAAGGGGUUCGAGAGCAGCCCUGGCAACAUAGUGAGAACCCCCCAUCUCUACAAAAAAAAAAAAAGACUCCAAAUCAGACCGGCCAGCCUAGAUGCCUAGAGAGAUGUGUGGGCACACCCAGAGCCAUGUCCUCGGCCAGGGAAGCCAGCAACUGUGAUGCUGGGGGUAUGGUAGUGACAGGCGGUAGACUCGGGGUAAUAUUCUUGGAGGAGCCGGGCGCAGUGGCUCAUGCCUGUCAUCCCAGCACUUUGGGAGGCCAAGGCGGGUGGAUCACGAGGUCAGGAGAUUGAGACCAUCCUGGCUAACACGGUGAAACCCCAUCUCUAAUAAAAAUACAAAAAAUUAGCCGGGUAUGGUGGCGGGCUCCUGUAGUCCCAGCUACUCGGGAGGCUGAGGCAGGAGAAUGGCGUGAACCCGGGAGGCGGAGUUUGCAGUGAGCCAAGAUUGCGCCACUGCACUCCAGCCUGGGCAACAGAGCGAGACUCCGUCUCAAAAAAAAAAAAAAAAAAAAAAAAAAGAUUCUUGGAGGAAGGGGGCCUGGGAGCUAUGUCAGACAGGUAGCAGCAGCUCUGUGUGGCUGACCCUCCACUGGCCCUAGCAUUUCCCUAAACACUUGGAAGCAGGAGAGGGCUUGAGAAGGAGAUCCCCCUCUAUGAAGCCCUAGCACCAUCUAAGGUCAGCAGGGGCCUCGUUCCCAUGCCCAGAGGCAGGGUGAGAUAAGGGGCUCAGGUCUGGCUGUCCCAGGCUGCUCCUGGGGCCCAGCCAGAGGGGGCAGAGGAGCUGAGGGGGGAGUUGGGGGGGAUCUGGCAGUCCCAGCCCUGCAGGAAGUGUUUGUGCAUCCGCCCCGGCGGAACCUGGCUCCCGAUCCCCGACUGUGAGACCGCCUGUUCUUCCUUCCAGUCCGAAGGAGCUUACGACAUCAUCCUCCCACGGGCCACCGCCAACAGCCAGGUGAUGGGCAGUGCCAACUCGACCCUGCGGGCUGAAGACAUGUACUCGGCCCAAAGCCACCAGGCGGCCACACCGCCGAAAGACGGCAAGAACUCUCAGGUCUUUAGAAACCCCUACGUGUGGGACUGAGUCAGCGGUGGCCAGGAGAGGCAGGCGGAUUUGGGGAGGGCCCUGAGGACCUGGCCCCAGGCAAGAGACUCUCCAGGAUCCUCCUUCCCCUGGCAGGCUCAGCAACAUGUGCCCCAGAUCUGGAAGGGCCUCCCUCUCUGCCAGUGUUUGGGUGGGUGUCCUGGGUGUCCCCACCCGCUCCUCAGUGUUUGUGGAGUCGAGGAGCCAACCCCAGCCUCCUCCCAGGGUCACCUCGGCGGUCACACUCCAGCCAAAUAGUGUUCUCGGGGUGGUGGCCGGGCAGCGCCUAUGUUUCUCUGGAGAUUCCUGCAACCUCAAGAGACUUCCCAGGCGCUCAGGCCUGGAUCUUGCUCCUCUGUGAGGAACAAGGGUGCCUAAUAAAUACAUUUCUGCUUUAUU